rnacentral:snRNA from 1 species
GUGCUCAAUUCAGUUGCACAUAUACUAAAAUUUGAAUGAUGCAAAGAAGAUUAGCAUGGCCUAUGCAUAAAGAUGACAUGCAAAUUUGUGAAAUGUUCCAUAGUUUU